UUAGAGUUUGAUCCUGGCUCAGGAUGAACGCUAGCGGCAGGCUUAACACAUGCAAGUCGAGGGGCAGCGGGUGUAGCAAUACAUGCCGGCGACCGGCGCAAGGGUGCGUAACGCGUGAGCAAUCUGCCCGUAUCAGGGGGAUAAGCGAUGGAAACGUCGUCUAAUACCGCAUAACACCAAUGAUGGCAUCAUCGAUGGUUGAAAGCUUCGGUGGAUACGGAUGAGCUCGCGAGACAUUAGUUAGUUGGCGGGGUAACGGCCCACCAAGACCGCGAUGUCUAGGGGAACUGAGAGGUUGGUCCCCCACACUGGAACUGAGACACGGUCCAGACUCCUACGGGAGGCAGCAGUGAGGAAUAUUGGACAAUGGCCGGAAGGCUGAUCCAGCCAUGCCGCGUGAAGGAAUAAGGUCCUAUGGAUUGUAAACUUCUUUUGUACGAGAGCAAUAAGUGUCACGAGUGACACGAUGAGAGUAUCGUACGAAUAAGCAUCGGCUAACUCCGUGCCAGCAGCCGCGGUAAUACGGAGGAUGCGAGCGUUAUCCGGAUUUAUUGGGUUUAAAGGGUGCGUAGGCGGGAUUUUAAGUCAGCGGUGAAACGCAAGGGCUCAACCCUUGACCUGCCGUUGAAACUGGAGUUCUUGAAUGCGGAUGCUGUGGGAGGAAUGUGUGGUGUAGCGGUGAAAUGCAUAGAUAUCACACAGAACACCGAUUGCGAAGGCAUCUCACAAAUCCGUGAUUGACGCUGAGGCACGAAAGUGUGGGGAUCAAACAGGAUUAGAUACCCUGGUAGUCCACACUGUAAACGAUGAUAACUCGCUGUCGGCGAUACACAGUCGGUGGCCAAGCGAAAGCGAUAAGUUAUCCACCUGGGGAGUACGACCGCAAGGUUGAAACUCAAAGGAAUUGACGGGGGCCCGCACAAGCAGUGGAGUAUGUGGAUUAAUUCGAAGCAACGCGAAGAACCUUACCAGGUCUUGACAUCGUACGCAUAGCAUAGAGAUAUGUGAAAUCCCUUCGGGGACGUAUAGACAGGUGGUGCAUGGUUGUCGUCAGCUCGUGUCGUGAGAUGUUGGGUUAAGUCCCGCAACGAGCGCAACCCUUACUGUUAGUUGCUACGCAAGAGCACUCUAGCAGGACUGCCGUUGACAAAACGGAGGAAGGUGGGGAUGACGUCAAAUCAUCAUGCCCCUUAUGUCCUGGGCUACACACGUAAUACAAUGGCGGUAAACAGAGGGAUGCAAAACUGCAAGGUAGAGCGAACCCCUAAAAGCCGUCCCAGUUCAGAUUGUGGGCUGCAACCCGCCCACAUGAAGUCGGAUUCGCUAGUAAUCGCGCAUCAGCCAUGGCGCGGUGAAUACGUUCCCGGGCCUUGUACUAACCGCCCGUCAA
rnacentral:rRNA from 1 species